rnacentral:rRNA from 1 species
GACAGAGGGUGCAAACGUUGUUCGGAAUUACUGGGCGUAAAGCGUGUGUAGGCGGUCUCAUAAGUCGGGUGUGGAAUCCCUGGGCUCAACCCAGGAAGUGCACUCGAAACUGCGAGGCUAGAGUACCGGAGAGGUUGGUGGAAUUCUCGGUGUAGAGGUGAAAUUCGUAGAUAUCGAGAGGAACACCGGUGGCGAAGGCGGCCAACUGGACGAGUACUGACGCUGAGACACGAAAGCGUGGGGAGCAAACAGG